rnacentral:rRNA from 1 species
UACGGAGGAUGCGAGCGUUAUCCGGAGUGACUGGGUGUAAAGAGUUUGCGUAGGUGGCAUAAUAAGUAGCUAGUGAAAUCUGGUGGCUCAACCAUUCAGACUAUUAGCUAAACUGUUUAAGCUCGAGACCGUUUAGGGGUAACUGGAAUUUCUAGUGUAGGAGUGAAAUCCGUAGAUAUUAGAAGGAACACCAAUAGCGUAGGCAGGUUUACUGGGACGGUUUCUGACACUAAGGCACGAAAGCGUAGGGAGCAAACGGG